AGACGUAGGAGGCGAGCGUUAUCCGGAUUCAUUGGGCGUAAAGGGCAAGUAGGCGGUGCCCAAAGUUGGGCGUGACAUCUCCCGGCUCAACUGGGAGGGAGCGUUCAAAACUGGGGGACUAGAGGGCAGGAGAGGGAAGUGGAAUUCCCAGUGUAGCGGUGGAAUGCUCAGAUAUUGGGAAGAACACCAGUGGCGAAGGCGGCUUCCUGGCCUGCACCUGACGCUGAGAGGCGAAAGCUAGGGGAGCGAACGGGCUUAGAUACCCCGGUAGUCCUAGCUGUAAACGUUGGAUACUAGGUAUUGGAGGAGGAGAGUCCUUCAGUGCCGCAGCAAACGCGUUAAGUAUCCCGCCUGGGGACUACGGCCGCAAGGUUAAA
rnacentral:rRNA from 1 species